rnacentral:rRNA from 1 species
GAUGAACGCUGGCGGCGUGCCUAACACAUGCAAGUCGAGCGAUUCUCUUCGGAGAAGAGCGGCGGACGGGUGAGUAACGCGUGGGUAACCUGCCCUGUACACAUGGAUAACAUACCGAAAGGUAUGCUAAUACGAGAUAAUAUGCUUUUAUCGCAUGGUAGAAGUAUCAAAGCUUUUGCGGUACAGGAUGGACCCGCGUCUGAUUAGCUAGUUGGUAAGGUAACGGCUUACCAAGGCGACGAUCAGUAGCCGACCUGAGAGGGUGAUCGGCCACAUUGGAACUGAGACACGGUCCAAACUCCUACGGGAGGCAGCAGUGGGGAAUAUUGCACAAUGGGCGAAAGCCUGAUGCAGCAACGCCGCGUGAGCGAUGAAGGCCUUCGGGUCGUAAAGCUCUGUCCUCAAGGAAGAUAAUGACGGUACUUGAGGAGGAAGCCCCGGCUAACUACGUG